rnacentral:rRNA from 1 species
GACGAACGCUGGCGGCGUGCUUAACACAUGCAAGUCGAACGGAAAGGCCUGCUUUCCCUUGUGGAUUGCGGGUACUCGAGUGGCGAACGGGUGAGUACCACGUGAGUGAUCUGCCCCCAACUUGGGUAUAAGCCUGGGAAACUGGGUCUAAUUCCCGAUAGGACUGCAGGGUGGUGCCUGUGGUGGAACACGAUUUUCUAGUGGUUGGGGAUGAGCUCGCGGCGUAUCAGCUUGUUGGUGGGGGAAUGGCCUACAAAGGCGGCGACGGGUAGCCGGCCUGCGAGGGGGGACGGCGACAGUGGGACUGGGCUACGGCCCCUACUCCUACGGGCGGCAGCGGUGGUGAAUAUUGCGCAGUAGGCGGAAGCCUGAUGCAGCGACGGCGCGUGGGGGAUGACGGGCUUCGGGUUGUAAACUCCUUUCGACCGCGAGGAAGCCACCUGGUUGGAAGGGUGGUGACGGUAGUGGUAGAAGAAGCACCGGCUAACUACGUG